rnacentral:rRNA from 1 species
CAAGGAAUCUUCCGCAAUGGGCGAAAGCCUGACGGAGCAACGCCGCGUGUGGGAUGACGCCUUUCGGGGUGUAAACCACUUUUCUCAGGGAAGAAGUUCUGACGGUACCUGAGGAAUAAGGACCGGCUAACUACGUGCCAGCAGCCGCGGUAAUACGUAGGGUCCGAGCGUUGUCCGGAGUUACUGGGCGUAAAGCGCGCGCAGGCGGCGGUGUAAGCAUGGCGUGAAAGCCCCAGGCUCAACCUGGGAGGGUCGUCGUGGACUGCACCGCUUGAGGGCGGUAGGGGCUGGUGGAAUGCCUGGUGUAGUGGUGAAAUGCGUAGAGAUCAGGCGGAACACCCGUGGCGAAGGCGGCCAGCUGGGCCGUCCCUGACGCUGAGGCGCGAAGGCGUGGGGAGCGAACGG